rnacentral:lncRNA from 1 species
GUCCCCACAGGUGUGGUCAACAGACAACCAAUAUGGCUGACUUGGUCUGAACUCUCUUGGAAGCUGCUGAGGUGGUGAGUCCUCCAUGUGAGAGGGCUGGUGGCUGGGCAAAGAGUUCUGGAAGCCACCGAAGACCGUCCAGAGGCAUGUCCAGAGAGCCCAUCAAAAAACCAGUGGGGAGGUCAGCAUCUGCCUCAGCCUGACCUUGAUUAGCCGUUCCCCGGGCUCAGAGAGCCAAGCCAUGCCCAAGUGCUCCCUGGAGGACGCCUGACUGAUCCAGCUCCUCACUGGAGAUUCUUUGGAGAAGAACCAAAAGACUAGACUGUGGCCCAAGGUCCCUGAGGCCUCACCAUCUGGGGAGAUUAGAAUGAAAGAAUAUUGUCAAUGGUCUCUGUCUGGAUCCAGGGUCUCCAGGUUCUCAGCAUCUUCUAUAUGGAACUGAAGAAGCACAUAGAAAUAUCAUAGUAGCAAGCAGUUUUAUUCCAAGCCAAAAGGUAAGUACAGGUUAGAUAUACUGCAAGAGA